rnacentral:rRNA from 1 species
GACGAACGCUGGCGGCGUGCUUAACACAUGCAAGUCGAACGGUAAGGCCCUUCGGGGUACACGAGUGGCGAACGGGUGAGUAACACGUGGGUGAUCUGCCCUGCACUUCGGGAUAAGCCUGGGAAACUGGGUCUAAUACCGGAUAGGACUCCGGACUGCAUGGUCUGGGGUGGAAAGCUUUUGCGGUGUGGGAUGGGCCCGCGGCCUAUCAGCUUGUUGGUGGGGUGAUGGCUUACCAAGGCGACGACGGGUAGCCGGCCUGAGAGGGUGACCGGCCACACUGGGACUGAGAUACUGCCCAGACUCCUACGGGAGGCAGCAGUGGGGAAUAUUGCACAAUGGGCGCAAGCCUGAUGCAGCGACGCCGCGUGAGGGAUGACGGCCUUCGGGUUGUAAACCUCUUUCAGCAUCGACGAAGCGAAAGUGACGGUAGGUGCAGAAGAAGGACCGGCCAACUACGUGCCAGCCGCCGCGGUAA